rnacentral:rRNA from 1 species
AGUCGAACGGUAACAGAUCCAGCUUGCUGGAUGCUGACGAGUGGCGCACGGGUGCGUAACGCGUAUACAACUUGCCUUCAACAGGAGGAUAGCCCAGAGAAAUUUGGAUUAAGACUCCAUAAUAUUUUCGAGUCGCAUGACAUGAAAAUUAAAGCUCCGGUGGUUGAAGAUAGGUAUGCGUCCCAUUAGUUAGUUGGUGAGGUAACGGCUCACCAAGACAGCGAUGGGUAGGGGUUCUGAGAGGAUUAUCCCCCACACUGGUACUGAGACACGGACCAGACUCCUACGGGAGGCAGCAGUGAGGAAUAUUGGUCAAUGGACGCAAGUCUGAACCAGCCAUGCCGCGUGCAGGAUGACGGCCCUACGGGUUGUAAACUGCUUUUGUAAAGGAAUAAAUACGAGUACGUGUACUUGUUUGAAGGUACUUUACGAAUAAGCACCGGCUAACUCCGUGCCAGC